GACGAACGCUGGCGGCGUGCUUAACACAUGCAAGUCGAACGGAAAGGCCCUGCUUUUGUGGGGUGCUCGAGUGGCGAACGGGUGCGUAACACGUGAGUAUCCUGCCCUUGACUUUGGGAUAACUUCAGGAAACUGGGGCUAAUACCGGAUAGGAGCCCCUGCUGCAUGGUGGGGGUUGGAAAGUUUCGGCGGGUGGGGAUGGACUCGCGGCUUAUCAGCUUGUUGGUGGGGUAGUGGCUUACCAAGGCUUUGACGGGUAGCCGGCCUGAGAGGGGGACCGGCCACAUUGGUACUGAGAUAGGGCCCAGUCUCCUACGGGAGGCAGCAGUGGGGAAUAUUACACAAUGGGAGGGAGCCUGAUGAAGAGACGCCGCGUUCGGGAAGACGGCCUUCGGGUUGUGAACCGCUUUCGCUUGUGACGAAGCGUGAGUGACGGUAAUGUGUAAAGAAGCACCGGCUAACUACGUG
rnacentral:rRNA from 1 species